rnacentral:rRNA from 1 species
GACGAACGCUGGCGGCGUGCCUAAUACAUGCAAGUCGAACGCAGUGGGGACGGGUGAGUAACACGUGGGUAACCUCCCAUCAGAGGGGAUAACACUUGGAAACAGGUGCUAAACCGAGACUGAGGGAUGGACCCGCGGUGCAUUAGCUAGUUGGGGAGGUAACGGCUUACCAAGGCCACGAUGGCUAGCCGGACUGAGAGGGGUGUCAGCCACACCGGGAAUGAUACACGGCCCAGACGCCUAAGUGAGGCAGCAGUAGGGAAGCUUCGGCAAUGGGCGAAAGGCUGACCGAGCAACGCCGCGUGAGUGAAGAAGGUUUUCGGAUCGUAAAACUCUGUUGUUAGAGAAGCGGUAUCUAACCAGAAAGCCACGGCUAACUACGUGCCAGCCGCCGCGGUAAUUC